rnacentral:rRNA from 1 species
UCGUGGGGUGACUUGUCUGCUUAAUUGCGAUAACGAGCGAGACCUUACUCUGCUAAAUAGCCCGGCUAGCUUUGGCUGGUCGCCGGCUUCUUAGAGGGACUAUCGGCUCAAGCCGAUGGAAGUUUGAGGCAAUAACA